GCGCUUCGUUUCCGUGGUCAAGGCCGACUGCAAGCAACCGGCGACGCGCCGCGAGUGACCGCAGGGAGCGGAGUCGCUUUCAAGGAGCGAGAAGUUAAUCAGGAGCUACCAGUUUAGACCAACGUUCAUAGGGUGGUUCUCAAACCUUGCGGCCCAGUAAAUGUCACCCGGAAGGUUUUCAAACUACCAGUACCUAGGUCCCACCUUCAAACUGGCCCAAGCAAAGGCGGUUUGUAAAAUCUGCCCAGGCGAUUCUAUAUCCACCAACUUUUCUCAGCCAAGAUUGAAAGCCACUGUUACAGAAUUAAACCGAUAAGGAGGAGCAGUGCCCCUGAAUUUCAACCCGCCCUGAGGCUAACGGACUGCCAGCGGUUCCGCAUCCUUCACGGGCAAAAACCUUUCCAGAGACCCGGGACUCUAAGCCCACCAGGGGGCGCGCGUGUCCCACCAAUUACCCGCAGGUCGUAUCCUUCCUACGCAGGCAGCGUCUUUCCUCCCGGGGGUUGCGGAUCCCGGGUGCGGGUGCGGGUGCGGAGACGCGUCUACACACCCCUUGCCCAGUGGGGCCGCCUCUGCUCCGCCUCGUCUGAGCUCGGUAUAUCUCGGCGGCCCCUAGCUGUAUUGUAUGUAAAGUAUGGGGUGGACGUCUGAUCGCGCGUCUUAGUCAUUGUUACAGAAAUUAAUAAUUUUUAAAAUUGGGUUCGCCGUACAUUGGGAACAGCCUUAGUAGAUGCACAUCGAGGAUAUAUGUAGCUGAGAUACGCCUUUUAAGGGGGGGUGGGGUUUAAAAAAAAAAAAGAUGCAAAACACGAACUCCUUCGAGCCGGAUUCGAACCAGCGACCUAAGGAUGCCUGAGGAGCUUCCACUACAGUCCUCCGCUCUACCAACUGAGCUAUCGAAGGAAUCACACUGUUCGCUUCACUCGCAGAGGAUGCCAUCUCUGCGCAAGGUUGUGAGCGUGUCGGUGCUAGUUGGUGAUUCACCGGUAUUGUUCCCGGGUCUGCCCUAACCGCGCCCACUUUUAUUUCUUUUUUCUUUUUUUCUUUUUUUUUUAAAUAAUCCAGCACCCCGUUGGAACUGACACUCAAAGAUCCACAGCCCUGGAGAAGAAAAACGGGAGCAUCCACUGGUUUUCGAAAAGU